ACUUUCAACAACGGAUCUCUUGGCUCUCGCAUCGAUGAAGAAGGCAGCGAAAUGCGAUAAGUAAUGUGAAUUGCAGAAUUCAGUGAAUCAUCGAAUCUUUGAACGCACCUUGCGCUCCUUGGUAUUCCGAGGAGCAUGCCUGUUUGAGUGUCA
rnacentral:rRNA from 1 species